AGUGAACGCUGGCGGCAGGCCUAACACAUGCAAGUCGAACGGCAGCACAGGGGAGCUUGCUCCCUGGGUGGCGAGUGGCGGACGGGUGAGGAAUACAUCGGAACCUACCCUUUCGUGGGGGAUAACGUAGGGAAACUUACGCUAAUACCGCAUACGAUCUGAGGAUGAAAGCAGGGGACCGCAAGGCCUUGCGCGAUUGGAUGAGCCGAUGUCCGAUUAGCUAGUUGGCGGGGUAAAGGCCCACCAAGGCGACGGUCGGUAGCUGGUCUGAGAGGAGGAUCAGCCACACUGGAACUGAGACACGGACCAGACUCCUACGGGAGGCAGCAGUGGGGAAUAUUGGACAAUGGGCGCAAGCCUGAUCCAGCCAUGCCGCGUGUGUGAAGAAGGCCUUCGGGUUGUAAAGCACUUUUGUUGGGAAAGAAAUCCUGUCGGCUAAUACCCGGCGGGGAUGACGGUACCCAAAGAAUAAGCACCGGCUAACUUCGUGCCAGCCGCCGCCGUAACAC
rnacentral:rRNA from 1 species